AUUGAACGCUGGCGGCAGGCCUCACACAUGCAAGUCGAACGAGUGGCGGACGGGUGAGUAAUGUCUUGGAAACUGCCCUAUCGAGGGGGAUAACUACUGGCAACGGUAGCUAAUACCGCCUACUCUCAGAUGUACCCAGAUGGGAUUAGCUUGUGGGUGGGGUAACGGCUCACCUAGGCGACGAUCCCUAGCUGGUCUGAGAGGAUGCACAGCAACCAGGGACCUGAGACACGGUCCAGACUCCUACGGGAGGAAGCAGUGGGGAAUAUUGCACAAUGGGCGCAAGCCUGAUGCAGCCAUGCAGCGUGUAUGAAGAAGGCCUUCGGGUUGUAAAGUACUUUCAGCGGGGAGGCGUUACCCGCAGAAGAAGCACCGGCUAACUCCGUGCCAGCCGCCGCGGUAAUUC
rnacentral:rRNA from 1 species